rnacentral:rRNA from 1 species
GCUCAGAUUGAACGCUGGCGGCAGGCCUAACACAUGCAAGUCGAACGGUAGCACAGAGGAGCUUGCUCCUUGGGUGACGAGUGGCGGACGGGUGAGUAAUGUCUGGGAAACUGCCUGAUGGAGGGGGAUAACUACUGGAAACGGUAGCUAAUACCGCAUAACGUCGCAAGACCAAAGAGGGGGACCUUCGGGCCUCUUGCCAUCAGAUGUGCCCAGAUGGGAUUAGCUAGUAGGUGGGGUAAUGGCUCACCUAGGCGACGAUCCCUAGCUGGUCUGAGAGGAUGACCAGCCACACUGGAACUGAGACACGGUCCAGACUCCUACGGGAGGCAGCAGUGGGGAAUAUUGCACAAUGGGCGCAAGCCUGAUGCAGCCAUGCCGCGUGUAUGAAGAAGGCCUUCGGGUUGUAAAGUACUUUCAGCGGGGAGGAAGGCGAUACGGUUAAUAACCGUGUCGAUUGACGUUACCCGCAGAAGAAGCACCGGCUAACUCCGUGCCAGCAGCCGCGGUAAUACGGAGGGUGCAAGCGUUAAUCGGAAUUACUGGGCGUAAAGCGCACGCAGGCGGUCUGUCAAGUCGGAUGUGAAAUCCCCGGGCUCAACCUGGGAACUGCAUUCGAAACUGACAGGCUAGAGUCUUGUAGAGGGGGGUAGAAUUCCAGGUGUAGCGGUGAAAUGCGUAGAGAUCUGGAGGAAUACCGGUGGCGAAGGCGGCCCCCUGACAA